AUACUUACCUGGCGUAGGGGAUACCGUGAUCACGCAGGCGGUUCCACCAGGGCGAGGCUGCUCCAUUGCACUGCGGAGUGGUUGACCCUUGCGAUUAUUUUUAUUUUUAACAAUAAAAAAAUCAUAAUAAAAAAUGUAUGCCCGAGUAAUUAUUUUCUUUAUACUUC
rnacentral:snRNA from 1 species